UACGUAGGGGGCAAGCGUUGUCCGGAAUUAUUGGGCGUAAAGAGCGUGUAGGCGGUCCGGUAAGUCAGCUGUGAAAGUCAAGGGCUCAACCCUUGAAUGCCGGUUGAUACUGUCGGGCUAGAGUCCGGAAGAGGCGAGUGGAAUUCCCGGUGUAGCGGUGAAAUGCGUUGAUAUUGUGAGGAACGCCGGAGGCGAAAGCGGCGCACUGGAUCUCUUCUGACGCUGAGGCGCGAAAGCUAGGGGAGCAAACGGG
rnacentral:rRNA from 1 species